GCAUGCGUGGUAUCAAGAGGCGCAUUGAGGCGCUCCUGCAGCCUCCUCCCGGCACGGGACUCCUCACAACCCCCAGCCUCAGCUUCCCCGACAGGGCAGGGGCUCAGUCUUCCCCACUCCGGGCCAGGAACGCAGCCUGCUUGCCUUUUGUCCAAUUGGGUGCUCUUUCUUUGCGACUGAUACAAAGUGGGAACAAACUCCGCUUCCGGUGAUGCCCGGGCCCCAGGAGGCUGGGGGAGAAGUGCACGCUGCCCAGCCUUCAACCUGAACUGCCCCAGCACUUCCCAGCCCCGACCCCUGCAGCUGUGAGGGAAGCCCCCGCCUCUGCCCUGGCCACAUCCUUCCCCUGAUCUCAUGGCUGAAAAGCCACACCAGAAUUCCUGCAAUUCAGUGAAGCAGCUCUUCAAAACCAAGCAGCUGGUGACGCACAGGGACAGAGGGUAGGGCUGCGGGGGAGAGGGCGGGAAAGGCCCUCACAGCAGGGCCCAGAGGAAGACUGACCCCGGCUGAGCAGGAGCUGUACGCACAGGGCCCAGGGGCUGCCGGCUGCCAGGACCGCCACAUUGCAGAGGUCUCCCUUGCAGCAGGAGAUCUGGGAGUCCACGACGGCACUUGUAAGUUUCAGCAGGGGGAAUCCGACGUCCUUCUGGCAGAAGAGGAGGGAGAGCUUGUUCUCACCUCUCACUUUACCUGCGAGAGAGCGGGGUGGGGGAUGAGCAGGGCCCUGCCCCGGGGCCUCAGGGGCUUUCUGCAGGGAGGCUCCGCACCCCAACAUAUGCUGGCUGGGAGCCUGAACAUCAAAGCCAUCAGGACCAAGGCCAUCGGAGCCCUUUCACUUAGGGAACGCUGAGGCCACCCAGGGAACCAGGGUUGCGGCAGAAAGGGCAGUAGGGUUUGAGUUCUUUCCCCAGGCAGCCCUCACCCUGCCCUGGCCUUGGGCCCCCCGAAGCGGGAGCUGGGUGGGCUGUGGAGGGGAGCUGGGUGCUGCUUUUGGGAAACAGCUGCGGGCUCCAGGCUGGCUUUUUUUUUUUUUUAAAUAUCUUUUUGAGAUAGAGUUUUGCUCUUGUGGCCCAGGCUGGAGUGCAAUGGGGCAAUCUCUGCUCACCACAACCUCCACCUCCCGGGUUCAAGAGAUUCUCCUGCCUCAGCCUCCCCAGUAGCUGGGAUUACAGGCAUGCCCCACCACGCCCGGCUAAUUUUGUAUUUUUAGUAGAGACAGGGUUUCUCCAUGUUGGUCAGGCUGGUCUCCAACUCCCGACCUCAGGUGAUCCCCCCGCCUUGGCCUCCCAAAGUGCUGGGACUACAGUCGUGAGCCACCACGGCCGGCCAGGGCAGGCCUUUUCCUGCCUCACUUCACUGAAGGGUGUGGCCUGGGGACAGAUGCAGCUCCGAGAGCUGAGGGUGCUGAGGGUGCUGAGGGUGCUGACGGCCUGGGCAGGCUGCAGCCCCUCCCCAGUCCUCCCAUGGCCUGGCUGAUAUCCCACCGUUCCAGAGUCAUUCCUUUAGUUUGAAGCUAACUGUCUCCAGGUUCUUCCAGGCAGGUAACUCACUGAAUGCUCACAGCCUGCCCCUCUCCUGCAUGGAGCUGGUGAGACCCAUGGCAUGAAGUGGGGACAAGGGGCAGAGGUCACUGGGGUCCCCAGAGUAGCUACAGCAGCUGGCGAUGGGAGGCUACUGGGAAGUUGGUGUGGGCCCUGCUGCUGGGCACUGGGAGGGGCUGGGAUGGUUUCCACAGUAAUGAGGGCCCUGUGGGCGCCCCCUGCUCUAGAACCCGGAACAUCCCCUGUCCCUGCAGACCCACAACCCUUAGGCUCAGUUUGGUGGCCCAGGCUCCUCAGCCCUGCCGCUCUUCCACCCUUCCCUGCACAGGCCCUGCCCCCCAUGCCCACCUCACCCCACCCCCCACCUCAGGAGCCACAGACCAGCCCCCAAAGUGCUGAGGGCUUGUAGGGGGACCUUGGUCCAUCAUGCAGCUAUCUAAGAAGUGCCCCUCCCUCCCCAGAACCUGCCCUCUGCCCUGGCACCCCAGGGACUCACUGCCAAAGACGCUCACUUUCUGGGAGACACAGACCCCAUCCAGGAAGGGGCACGAGACCACGCUGCAGGAGGCCCCUUCCAAGACCGCCAAGCAUCUGUAGCAGCACAGACCCUGAGCUGGGAGAGAGGGCAAGAAAACACACCCCUGAUGGAGAUUUAAGAUGCUAAUGACACAUGCGACGUAUGAGCAAGCAGGUGCAGCUACUGCACGUGUGCACCCAGAGGACCCCCCAGAACAUUCUUUCUAGCAACACCUCUGCCCACCCGCUGAUUCCCUCGGCACCACGGGAACCACCUUCCCUACUCUCACUGCACACCCCUGGGAUGUAUCUGUAAAAAUUGGAACACCUUUCGGCCAGAAACCAGAGGAAGCCGCUCAUGACACCCGAGAGCUCACAGAGGCUCUGAAGUUUCUAUUCAAGAAAACAACUCCAGAUGGGGCUGAUCUGGAAGACAGAAAUGGAAUCAUGAUAUGUUGCCUGGCUGGUCUUGAACUCCUGAGCUCAAGUGAUCCUCCCACCUCAGCCUCUCAAAGUACUGGGAUUACAGUCAUGAGCCACUGUGUCUGGCACAAGCAAAUAUUAAAACAACGAAAGUACAAUGGAAUAGAGGGACACAAUGCACUGCAGAAAGCCACAUGGACCCCUGCCCCUCCACACCUGUGAGUAUUUCUCGUCAGGUGGAGAUAAGAGACUGAGAAAAGAAAUAAGACACAGAGACAAAGUAUAGAGAAAGAACAGUGGGCCCAGGAGACCGGCGCUUAACAUGCGAGGACCCGCGUCGGCGCUGGUCUCUGAGCUCCCUCAGGAUUUAUUGAUCACUAUUUUUACUAUCUUGGCGAGGGGAGUGUGGCAGGGCAACAGGGCGAUGGUGGGGAGAAGGUCAGCAGGGAAACAUGUGAGCAAAGGAAUCUGUAUCAUGAAUAAGUUCAAGGGAAGGUACUGUGCCUGGAUGUGCACGUAGGCUAGAUUUAUGUUUCACUUUACACAAACAUCUCAGUGUAGCAAAGAGUAACAGAGCAGUAUUGCUGCCAGCAUAUCUCGCCUCCAGCCACAGGGCAGUUUUCUCCUAUCUCAGAAUAGAACUAAUGGUCAGCUUUACACUGAGGCAUUCCAUUCCCAGGGAGGAGCAGGAGACAGAAGCCUUCCUCUUAUCUCAACUGCAAAGAGGCCUCCCUCUUUCACUACUCCUCCUCAGCACAGACCCUUCGCAGGUGUCCGGCUGGGGGAUGUAAGGUCUUUCCUUUCCCACAAGGCCAUAUCUCAGGCUGUCUCAGUGGGGGGAAACCUUGGUCAAUACCCAGGCUUUCUUGGGCAGAGGUCCCUGCGGCUUUCCACAGUGCAUUGUGUCCCUGGUUAAUAAAGAAUGGAGAAUGGCGAUGACUUUUACCAAGCAUACUGCCUGCAAACAAAUUGUUAACAAGGCACAUUCUGCACAGCCCUAAAUCCCUUAAACCUUGAUUCAAUAUAGCAUAUGUUUCUGUGAGCACAGAGUUGGGGCUAAAGUUACAGAUUAACAGCACCUCAAAGCAGACAAUUUUUCCUAGUACAGAUCAAAAUGGAGUUUCUUAUGUCUUCCUUUUCUACGUAGACACAGUAACAAUCUGAUCUCUCUUUCUUUUCCCCAUAACCUGCUUCGCCUUUGCCUUCUGCUAUGAUUGGAAACUUCCUGAGGCCUCCCGAGAAGCCAAGCAGAUGCCAGCACCGUGCUUCCCGUACAGCCUGCAAUACCAAGAGCCAAUUAAACCUCUUCUUUGUAAAUUGCCCAGUCUUAGGUAUUUCUUUACAACAACAAAAGAACAGACUAUCACAACAGGCAAGAGUCAAAAUUUUCUUGUCUCAGUUUCCUUGGAGAACAGUAAUUAUAUAUUUAUAGUGGUUGUUAUGGUGAUUUAUGCCAACAAAAGGGCACUUGACUAAUAAUUUCUUUUUUUUUUCCUGAGAAUAUCUCGCUCUAGAUUGACUAAUAACUUCCUAGAAAACUACCAUGCUUAAGAUAAAAUCCAAGCUCUUCUGCAGUGCCACUCCCAGAAUUGUUUAUCCUGUCACUGCAGGAGCAAGCUGGGCUGGGUCUGAGAUCUUAU